GGGUGGUGGUGCAUGGCCGUUC
rnacentral:ncRNA from 3 species